AAAUUGAAGAGUUUGAUCAUGGCUCAGAUUGAACGCUGGCGGCAGGCCUAACACAUGCAAGUCGAACGGUAACAGRAAGCAGCUUGCUGCUUUGCUGACGAGUGGCGGACGGGUGAGUAAUGUCUGGGAAACUGCCYGAUGGAGGGGGAUAACUACUGGAAACGGUAGCUAAUACCGCAUAACGUCGCAAGACCAAAGAGGGGGACCUUMGGGCCUCUUGCCAUCGGAUGUGCCCAGAUGGGAUUAGCUAGUAGGUGGGGUAAAGGCUCACCUAGGCGACGAUCCCUAGCUGGUCUGAGAGGAUGACCAGCCACACUGGAACUGAGACACGGU
rnacentral:rRNA from 1 species